GACGAACGCUGGCGGCGUGCUUAACACAUGCAAGUCGAACGAGUGGCGGACGGGUGAGUAAUGUCUGGGAAACUGCCUGAUGGAGGGGGAUAACUACUGGAAACGGUAGCUAAUACCGCAUACCAUCAGAUGUGCCCAGAUGGGAUUAGCUGGUGGGUGGGGUAACGGCUCACCAAGGCGACGAUCCCUAGCUGGUCUGCGAGGAUGACCAGCCACACUGGAACUGAGACACGGUCCCGACUCCUACGGGAGGCAGCAGUGGGGAAUAUUGCACAAGGGGGGCAAGCCUGAUGCAGCCAUGCCGCGUGUAUGAAGAAGGCCGUCGGGUUGUAAAGUACUGUCAGCGGGGAGGCGUUACCCGCAGAAGAAGCACCGGCUAACUCCGUGCCAGCAGCCGCGGUAAUUC
rnacentral:rRNA from 1 species